AUUUUUAUAGUGUAUAUGAAACACCUAACAUUUUCAUUGUUAAAAAGCAUAGGCUAAAAAUA
rnacentral:tRNA from 1 species